rnacentral:rRNA from 1 species
UACAGAGGGUGCAAGCGUUAAUCGGAGUUACUGGGCGUAAAGGGCGCGUAGGUUGUUAAAUAAGUUUCAUGUGAAAGCCCCGGGCUUAACCUGGGAACUGCAUGGGAAACUGUUUGACUAGAGUAUGGUAGAGGUAAGUGGAAUUUCCGGUGUAGCGGUGAAAUGCGUAGAUAUCGGAAGGAACACCAGUGGCGAAGGCG